AAUUACUGUUAGUUUUUUUUUUUAUUGUUUUAAGACUAACAAAAAAAGACACAUUGUAGUACUUUGCUGUUAUUUUCAUAGCUAAACCAUGCCUUAAUGGAGACAGGAGCAGCCGAUGAAUUUUUGGCAUCUGUUGGAGCUACAGUCCUCACCAGGAUGGAUUUCCUUACUUUAGGGCACCAACGUGAUGUAGAAGCAACAGUGAGAUGCAGCAAAAAUAAUAUAUUUGUACCCUUUAACCCAUGCAGUACAGUAUAGUACUAUGUGCCCUUUUAUGUCCUUAAAUUUUCACAGAUUGUAAAUGCAUUUCUUUGAAUGUUAACAGAUUUUGAAUGCCUGUCUUUCUGUUGUGAAGGAUAUUGCUGACCUUCAGGGCAUAAUGGUCCAUGUCUUUAAUUCAUAUGUGACAGUGACUUGGUUGCCACCCUUGUGAGCAGACCCAGUGUGCAAUGUUCCUGAAAAUCUAGCAAGUCAUGACAUAAUUCUACUGCCCUCCUGGUCAGAAAAUCAUUGGAAGAUCUGUGCAACUAGCAAAACGUGCCAUUCCUGGGCCAUGGAGGGAGUACAGCUGUGAUGACAGUACAGGCAUUCCCAGACAACACAAUUCAAAUAACCGCGGAGUGUUUGUGUUGAUCUAUGCACUCUACGUGGUAUUGGAGGGGUAUUUUGAUUUCAACGAAUAUGACAUGCCAACAAUUAGAAGGUGGUGGUGUAUGCUUCUGCGGAGUAAUUAUCCAUUGAAGUAAG